GAGGUGGCUUCCGGCCGCCAGGCGAGACUCCGCGGGAAAACUCCCUGCUAGAGAGACUAGGAGAUUUGGGGCUGCGGCCGUUUCCUCCGGAGCACCCACGGGACUGUGUGCUGGGGUCCCUCCACCGGCUGUGUCCUUUAUUCUUCUUUCUCACCCAACGAUUUACCUGAACGGUUAUAAAGUGCACGUUAUUUCCCUAAGCACUUUGAGUAUAUUGGCCCACUGCAUUCUGGACUUCAAAAUUUCUGAUGCGAAAUAUGCUGAUACUUUUGUUGAAGAAAUCUGGUCCUUCUUACUGAUGUGUUGCUCUUCUUCAUGGCUCGUGAAAACUAUUAGAGUCAUCCAAGGGUGGGAAGAGAGAUCAGCAACGUUAACUGGGUGUCAAGAAAACAUACCGAGAUUGAAGCCAUCCACUUCUGCAGGAACACCGAAAAGAAAGCUUACAAUCUGAAGGUGUCCGUUCCUACACUGGUCAGACCACUGUCCUUGGGGCAGCUGGGGUCUUUGGGACCCUCCACCGGGCUCGCCGGUCCGUCGGACUUUUGGCUGAGAUCCGUGUCAGACUCCUCCGAAUAGUCGUCUGUUGGCAUCGAGGGCUGAACCCCUGAGGUGCUGCAUGAACUUGAGGGGAUAAGAGUGGUUUCAAAGGAGACUGUUCCGACCAGGAGGUCCCAUCCCUGACACACCAGUACUUGGGAGACUCAACAGGAACGAACUGAAGUCUUGUUGCUUUUAAAGAACUAGAAAGCUGUUUUUGGUCGCUUCGAAGAGAGGGGAGACUCUGAGCUACCUGGGAAGGAGAUGCGUUUGGAGGUUGCAGGAGAAUCUGUCAGCUCCUUCUCUGCUUGGCUGGACGAUGCUAAAAGAGAAAGUAGAAGAUGCAAUACAGCAGCCAGACCAGGCCAGCUCCCAGAGGGUUUGUGUUGGGUGAAAAUCAACAUUCAUUUAUAGCACAGGAUUUUCUUAAAACACCAAAAUUCAAGAAGGAUGAACAUCCGGACUGAUUUAUCAAGCAUGUUGGAAAAGAAGCAAGUGUUUCUUUCUCCCCCAUGAAUUUCUGUCACUACUUUAACAACUGAACAUUAGGAAAAGAAGGCAAAGAAAUGGAAUAAAAGGCUCUGGAGUUGGAUUAAGCUAAAUUCAGUCUGUUCUAACCUCCCCCAAUCUAGAU
rnacentral:lncRNA from 1 species